rnacentral:lncRNA from 1 species
GUUUAAGGAAUGAGUAAGAGUGUUUAUUACUUGCAGCAUGUGAAUGUAGUGUGUGUAUUUGGAAUUAGUAUUUACUUAGUAAUUAAUUAUUUACAGGUAUGAUUCAAAAGGGCAUUGUUUCUUUCUGAGUGUUGAUCAGGAAUCUGGAUAUAGAUGUAAGCACCUUUUAACCUACUAUAGUAGACUUCAGUAGGACAAGAAUUUUAAGGUUGUUCCUUGCUUAUAUUUUUCCCUUUAAAGUUACUAUGCGUUAAGGAUGUGAUGUUUGCAUUAUAGACUUGUUCAUGAAUUUGUGAACGUCCAAUGCUUCCAUUGUUGUUGCUGAGAUUUGAACAUGCUUCAGAACUUCACAUGCUUGAGACAGCUGGACAGUUUUGAGGAAGCGUUCAAAACUAGCUCAGCAAAAACACAUGGGAAUAUGUGCUGGCAGCAAACCCUUUCAUUGCCAGUGCUGUGAGUACAAAACAGGGGUCAAGGCCUCCCUGAUACAGCAUAUGUGAAUCUGCACACUUUCUUGUCAGGUCAGAAGCCUUUCAAAUGUGAAAUUUGUUCUUAUGCCUGCAUUGAUGCAAGCUCUGCGGUGACGCUUCUGAACACACGCCAGUGAGAGACCCUACAAAUGCCAGCUCUGUUCGUAUAGUUGGUAAAUGUAAAUAAUUCCUCUCUCGGACAAAUUUUGCACACCAAACUGUUGACUUAAAAAAAAAAAAACAAAAAAAAAACAAAAAAACCACUGAGGUAUGUGCUCCCA